rnacentral:lncRNA from 1 species
UGAGGAGCUGCGAUCGCGCGAUGUAUUCAGAGGAAUCAUUUCUUUUUUUUUCUCAAAAUGGCGGCCAAUUUGGGCAAGACGCUCUAUUUCGGCGGGAGUCGUCCACUCGGCCGGAGAAAGGAGGCGAUUCUUUCUUGGCUGGAAUAUUCGCCGUUUUCCCAGAAGUAUCAGGUCUGGGGAUAAUCGCGGCAAUUCGCGAGUAAUGACACACGACGAGCCUAGAGAGCCGGAGUUUCGCAAUGUUCUCCUUCGAGGUCCUGGCGACGUUUACGGCUCUCUUUAGUAGUUGGAUAUUUUUUUUCGAAUUUUUCGGGGCACUGGGAAGACAUAAAGCGGCCCUGAGUUCGAUGAGCAUGCGUAGUGCGGCGCGCGAGCGUAAGGCUCAUAUUCCCGGGGCCGGGCGUGGGGAAGUCGCCCGUAAACGCGCCGGCGCGCGACGACAAUCCCGCGCGGGAGAGAGAGGUCGGAUCGGCGCGGCGGCCGAGAGGGAGAGAGAGGGGAGAGGCACUCGGUCGCGAGUCGAUACUCUAGCACCGGACCAACCGGAUCUAGGUACGGCUGCACCGGCGAGUGCACGUGCACCGGGGCAGACGAAGAGACCCUCUCUAGGUAUAAAGUGCGGACUUGGGUGCGAGAUAGAGAGAAGAGGGAGAGGGAGCCACCGAUACGGGCGACCACGGGAGAGAAGGAGACAGAGCUACCUAGUACUACGCGUUAGCCAAGCGUGAGAGAAAGGCCGGAAUUGGAAUAGUUGAGAAUGAAUUGCGCGUUGUAGAAAAGGGUUUACAAUGAAUAUUGCAAUUUUUCAACGUAUCUCCGAGAUCAUCGACGUUUCCCCAUCUCAUCUAAAUUCCAUAUUAUUUUUAUAUCUACACAUGGAUAUCAAUGAAACUCGCAAAGGGCGAUAUCUGUCUCCAGGGUUGGAAUUGCAGAGCGGAACUUUACCCUUUCGCGGGUUCGAGGGAAGUUGCAUAGUGGCGCCAUCUUGGAUGCUGUAUUCCCAUCGCUGUGUCGAAAAUGUUCCGUUUGGAGGGAAGUUAUCGGUUGAAAAUGGAUAUUGUCUCAGGUGGUGCAGAUUUGUUAAUCGACUUUCAAUUUCAGGUACGGUCGGCGUUACGGAGCAGAAUUUUAUCCUCUCGGGGAAAUAUAUCGCUUGUUGGGAAGUUAUCUGCUGGGAGUGAAUUUUGGAAAUUACCAGACGUGGUCCUGUGAAUUGAUACUUACCUCCUGUCGAUAUUAUCAAUGCAGGUUCCUGUUGUGUCAACUGAAGAACUUUAAAAUGUGAUCCUAUGCAUCGAUACGUACCUCCUAUGGAUAUUGGCAUUGCAGGAAUCUGUUGCAUCAACUGAAGAACUUUGAGGCGUUUCGAAGAAUUUCCGCAAGAUGGCGGGGGCGGACUUAAGCCGAAGAAAUCAACGGGUGAAGAAGCGCGUUAAUGAAAUUGGGUGUACUGCAGACAAAGUAACGUUCAGAAGUCGAUUGGAGCUGUUUAUCUUAAAAAAUUAUAAAAGAUUCGAUAAUUCACCGUAGCAUACGAAUAUAUAGUAUGUAAUGGAUUGGGACUGUUUAAAUGAUACCAAAAAUUGUGUGACUAUUAAAAUUAAAUCAGAAAUGACAUGGAGAUCGAGAGGAUGAAAGACAUGAGACACGAAAAGACAGAGAGAUAAUCUAUUUCUUUAUGUCGCCAUUUAUUAUGUACAAUUGGGUGUACGGGUGCAACAAUGACGUUAUCGGCCUGACCUCUCCGUAUCCUCCCCGAGUAAUAAAAAAAUUUCCCCCUAUUCUUGCCAUUUCUAAAAAUUCCACCAUCAGCAAGAUACCAUUAAAAUCCUAACCAACAAUCUGCAUCUAAUUAUCCCGUUUUAAAAAUUCUCGAAAAAAAAAAGCGGCACUGAGGAUUCCACAAAAAGAAAAAUAUACGCGUCAGAAAUUUUCACUAAUCAUAACGAUAUUAAUUUUUUAACGUUACCCUUAACGUCGUCCCUGCACCCGUGAACGCAAUCGCAACAAUAUACCAGUCGUAUAGAGU